ACCGGCCAGGAUGAACGCUGGCGGCGUGCCUAAUACAUGCAAGUCGAGCGAACGGAUAAGGAGCUUGCUCCUUUGAAGUUANCGGCGGACGGGUGAGUAACACGUGGGUAACCUACCUAUAAGACUGGAAUAACUUCGGGAAACCGGAGCUAAUGCCGGAUAACAUUUGGAACCGCAUGGUUUUAAAGUAAAAGAUGGUUUUGCUAUCACUUAUAGAUGGACCCGCGCCGUAUUAGCUAGUUGGUAAGGUAACGGCUUACCAAGGCAACGAUACGUAGCCGACCUGAGAGGGUGAUCGGCCACACUGGAACUGAGACACGGUCCAGACUCCUACGGGAGGCAGCAGUAGGGAAUCUUCCGCAAUGGACGAAAGUCUGACGGAGCAACGCCGCGUGAGUGAUGAAGGUUUUCGGAUCGUAAAACUUCUGUUAUUAGGGAAGAACAAAUGUGUAAGUAACUGUGCAGCUCCUUGUACGGUACCUA
rnacentral:rRNA from 1 species